GGGCCGGUGGCAGGGCCGGGUUAUUGCAGCACUCAGAGAAGGUGUGUGGGGCCAACGCCGUGCCGCGCCCCACUAGGGGUUCAAAUCCCCUUCGGUCCG
rnacentral:tRNA from 1 species